GAUGAACGCUGGCGGCGUGCUUAACACAUGCAAGUCGAACGAUGAAGCCCAGCUUGCUGGGUGGAUUAGUGGCGAACGGGUGAGUAACACGUGAGUAACCUGCCCUUAACUCUGGGAUAAGCCUGGGAAACUGGGUCUAAUACCCGAUAGGAGCGUCCACCGCAUGGUGGGUGUUGGGAAGAUUUAUCGGUUUUGGAUGGACUCGCGGCCUAUCAGCUUGUUGGUGAGGUAAUGGCUCACCAAGGCGACGACGGGUAGCCGGCCUGAGAGGGUGACCGGCCACACUGGGACUGAGACACGGCCCAGACUCCUACGGGAGGCAGCAGUGGGGAAUAUUGCACAAUGGGCGCAAGCCUGAUGCAGCGACGCCGCGUGAGGGAUGACGGCCUUCGGGGUGUAAACCUCUUUCAGUAGGGAAGAAGCGAAAGUGACGGUACCUGCAGAAGAAGCACCGGCUAACUACGUG
rnacentral:rRNA from 1 species